AGUUUUGCGCAGUGGCAGUGUCAUAGCCAAUGAGGUUUAUCAGAUGCGCGAUUAUUGCUAACUGAAAAACAGUGCUCAAAGACAC
rnacentral:snRNA from 1 species